rnacentral:rRNA from 1 species
GAUGAACGCUGGCGGCGUGCCUAAUACAUGCAAGUCGAGCGAACAGACGAGGAGCUUGCUCCUCUGACGUUAGCGGCGGACGGGUGAGUAACACGUGGAUAACCUACCUAUAAGACUGGGAUAACUUCGGGAAACCGGAGCUAAUACCGGAUAAUAUAUUGAACCGCAUGGUUCAAUAGUGAAAGACGGUUUUGCUGUCACUUAUAGAUGGAUCCGCGCCGCAUUAGCUAGUUGGUAAGGUAACGGCUUACCAAGGCAACGAUGCGUAGCCGACCUGAGAGGGUGAUCGGCCACACUGGAACUGAGACACGGUUCAGACUCCUACGGGAGGCAGCAGUAGGGAAUCUUCCGCAAUGGGCGAAAGCCUGACGGAGCAACGCCGCGUGAGUGAUGAAGGUCUUCGGAUCGAAAAACUCUGUUAUUAGGGAAGAACAAAUGUGUAAGUAACUAUGCACGUCUUGACGGUACCUAAUCAGAAAGCCACGGCUAACUACGUG